ensembl:lncRNA
GGCGGGAUAUAAGAAUAAAAUUAUUAUUAUUAUUAUUAUUAUUAUUAUUAUUAUUAUUAUUAUUAUUAUUAUACCAUUGUGUGCUUUAUAAGCCGCUCUGAGUCCCUAUGGGCGAUGGUGGCGGAGUAUAAAUAAAAGAUUAUUAUUAUUAUUAUCAUUAUUAUCAUUAUCUGAGUUGAACUGGAUUAUAUGAGUCUACACUGCUAUAUAAUCCAGUUCAGAGCAGACAAUCUGGAUUCAGAACCUGGAUUAUAUGGCAGUGUAGAUGGGGCUGGAGAGAAACAACUUGCUUCCCUGGGAUCCAGAGUUCUCUUGUCUUCCGUUUUUUGCUUGCAUUGUUGAAAGCUAUGUCACUCUCCAGCAGACUACACACAUAUUAGACCCCAGCCAAUUUUUCUUUCAAUUAACAUGCUAAUGCAAUACUUUUGUCAAGAAAUGGAAAGAAUUUUCACCUAAAAUGUGUUGUGCUUCAUAGGGAAAAUUAUAUUUUGCAAUUAAAUUUCUCCUUUUUGUUUGAGGUGGGUCUUUCAAAAACUACAGUUAGCCCUCCAUAUCCAUGGAUUCUGCACUUAGGAAAUCAACCAUUCUUGGCUUGGAAAUGCCCCCCCCCCCUUCGCAUUGAAAAAGGCAAUCACAGAUUUUUAACAUGCCCUUCUAUAUAAUGACACUUGAGCAUCCAUAGAUUUUGGUAUCUCUGAGAGUGUCCUGGAACCAUUUUCCAGGAGAUACCAAGGGCCCACUAUAUCUAACAGUGAGUGUAGGGCCUGGCUUAGACUAUGUCCCUUUUAGCUUUCUGGGGAAACAUUGUGAUAACAUUAGUUGAAGCUCCAUUUUUCUUUUCUUUUCAAACAGGAUAGUGUGAAUUGACGAAUAUCUAAUUGCACAAUUAUGAUCUCAGAAGAAAUUUUUGAAUGCAGAAAACAAGGAAAUGAACGGUACUGUUUGAAAUUAAAAGCAAAGGGUGGUUCAAAAUUCAUAAUUGAAGACCUAACUGAGGAGGAGACAAAAAUUGCAGAAGCAGCACAUUGGGCAGCAAUAGAAAUCCUACAAGAUGCCUUGAAGAAGAAGGAAAAGGUUCUGAUGAAGUUACCAAAGAAAGUAGUCAUUAAGGGUGAAGCAGAGGAUUCAUUUUGGGUGAAGCGUCAUGCAAUUUUGACCGAAGACCUAGUGAAAAAACUCCUUGAAGAACUGAAGAAGGUAAUAUUUAAGAAGGGAAUUUCUAAGAAGAAAACCUUUGCAUUUGUAUAUCCAAGUGAUGAGAAAAGAACCAUCCAUUUGUGUAACUUAUUCUGGGAUGCUCCAAACAAUCUUAAAGAAAAUUCCCAGCCAGGUACCCUCAUUCAUGAAGUGUCUCACUUUCUGGGUACUGCUGACAUCGUCUAUGGCAAUUAUGAAAACCCUACCCUUCAAAUAGGCUGCAAAGGGGACAUGGUAAAAGAUGUGCACUUCAGACCUGCAUCCAGUUCAACUGCCUCUCCUGUUGAGGAAGAGGUCCACGAUGCCCUUUGGAAAGCCUUCUGGAAUGCUGAUAAUGUGGAGUAUGAGUUUGAGCGCACCAUCAACCACAAAGGAUCUUAUGAGGGUGGCAAAUACUCCUGCUGCGGGGAAACAGCAAGAUACUCGGUCUGUGAUCAGUCUGUGCCUGACUUCUUCCACACUUGCAGAGUUGGAGAAAGGUUGGAAACACGUGACAUAGCAAAAGAGCUAUGUCACAGAUCAAAGAACAAGUUGGCAUUACUUCUCAAAACUGCAGAGAAAAUGGAAAGGUAUCUCAGAAAAGCUGAGGCUUCACGCAAGGCUGGCCUUUCCGUGAGUUUUGCUGGAGGAGCAGCUGCUGCGGCAGGCCUCUUUCUGGCUCCUGCCACACUUGGGAUUCUUGUCUUGGUGGCAGGAGGGGUAGGGGUGGCUGGGGCUGCAGCAGGCCUCAUUUCCACAGCCAUCUUUAAAGCAAAAGCAGACAAAAAAAAGAAAAAGCUGAAUAAAUUAUUUGAUAAUUGCCAAGAAUUCCUGGAUGAUGCCAAGAGAGCUGUAAUUUCCCUAAAUAAGGUAGCUGGGAUUCAAAGAGAUUAUGGAGUUCAGCGUAUAAAUACUUUCAUAAACCUAGUGGAGGAGCAAGUGGAAUCUGAGAGAAAUAAUGUGCAAAAAAUACAUAUAUAUGUGGGUGCUAUCAAAAAAUGUGCAUAUUUCCUGGAAGUUUUCUGCAAAUUUAUUUCUAAGUAA